rnacentral:rRNA from 1 species
AUUGAACGCUGGCGGCAUGCCUUACACAUGCAAGUCGAACGGCAGCACGGGGCAACCUGGUGGCGAGUGGCGAACGGGUGAGUAAUGCAUCGGAACGUACCUUUCAGUGGGGGAUAACGUAGCGAAAGUUACGCUAAUACCGCAUAUUCCGUGAGCAGGAAAGAAGGGGAUCGAAAGAACUUGCGCUGAUGGAGCGGCCGAUGUCAGAUUAGCUAGUUGGUGAGGUAAAGGCUCACCAAGGCGACGAUCUGUAGCGGGUCUGAGAGGAUGAUCCGCCACACUGGAACUGAGACACGGUCCAGACUCCUACGGGAGGCAGCAGUGGGGAAUUUUGGACAAUGGGGGCAACCCUGAUCCAGCCAUGCCGCGUGAGUGAAGAAGGCCUUCGGGUUGUAAAGCUCUUUCGGCCGGGAAGAAAUCGCACGGGCUAAUACCCUGUGUGGAUGACGGUACCGGAAUAAGAAGCACCGGCUAACUACGUGCCAGCAGCCGCGGUAAUAC